GAUGAACGCUGGCGGCGUGCCUAAUACAUGCAAGUCGAACGCAUUGUGGUUGAAAUGAUAUGAAGAACUUGUUCAGAUUUGAUUUUCAACAUUGCAAUGAGUGGCGAACGGGUGAGUAACACGUGGGAAACCUACCUCUUAGCAGGGGAUAACAUUUGGAAACAAAUGCUAAUACCGUAUAAUAAUUAAAACCGCAUGGUUUUAGUUUAAAAGAUGGUCUUGCUAUCACUAAGAGAUGGUCCCGCGGUGUAUUAGUUAGUUGGUGAGGUAAUGGCUCACCAAGACAAUGAUACAUAGCCGAGUUGAGAGACUGACCGGCCACAAUGGGACUGAGACACGGCCCAUACUCCUACGGGAGGCAGCAGUAGGGAAUCUUCCACAAUGGACGAAAGUCUGAUGGAGCAACGCCGCGUGUGUGAUGAAGGGUUUCGGCUCGUAAAACACUGUUGUAAGAGAAGAAUGACAUUGAGAGUAACUGUUCAAUGUGUGACGGUAUCUUACCAGAAAGGAACGGCUAAAUACGUGCCAGCAGCCGCGGUAAUACGUAUGUUCCAAGCGUUAUCCGGAUUUAUUGGGCGUAAAGCGAGCGCAGACGGUUAUUUAAGUCUGAAGUGAAAGCCCUCGGCUCAACCGAGGAAUUGCUUUGGAAACUGGAUAACUUGAGUGCAGUAGAGGAAAGUGGAACUCCAUGUGUAGCGGUGAAAUGCGUAGAUAUAUGGAAGAACACCAGUGGCGAAGGCGGCUUUCUGGACUGUAACUGACGUUGA
rnacentral:rRNA from 1 species